UACGUAGGGGGCUAGCGUUGUCCGGAUUUAUUGGGCGUAAAGAGUGUGUAGGCGGCCAGGUAGGUCCGGUGUGAAAACUCGAGGCUUAACCUCGAGAUGUCAUCGGAAACCAUCUGGCUAGAGUCCGGAAGAGGAAAGUGGAAUUCCUGGUGUAGCGGUGAAAUGCGCAGAUAUCAGGAAGAACACCAAUGGCGAAAGCAGCUUCUGGACGGUACUGACGCUGAGACGCGAAAGCGUGGGGAGCGAACAGG
rnacentral:rRNA from 1 species